rnacentral:rRNA from 1 species
UUGCCUUAAACACACCGCUUGUCACGCGAGAUAAAA